ACGUAGGGUGCGAGCGUUAAUCGGAAUUACUGGGCGUAAAGCGUGCGCAGGCGGUUUGAUAAGCCAGAUGUGAAAUCCCCGGGCUUAACCUGGGAACUGCAUUUGGAACUGUCAGACUAGAGUAUAGCAGAGGGGGGUAGAAUUCCACGUGUAGCAGUGAAAUGCGUAGAGAUGUGGAGGAAUACCAAUGGCGAAGGCAGCCCCCUGGGUUAACACUGACGCUCAUGCACGAAAGCGUGGGGAGCAAACAGGAUUAGAUACCCUGGUAGUCCACGCCCUAAACGAUGUCAACUAGGUGUUGGGGAAGGAGACUUCUUUAGUACCGCAGCUAACGCGUGAAGUUGACCGCCUGGGGAGUACGGUCGCAAGAUUA
rnacentral:rRNA from 1 species